rnacentral:rRNA from 1 species
UACGAACUGUGCAAACGUUAUUCGGAUUCACUGGGCUUAAAGGGUGCGUAGGCGGCCAUGUAAGUAGGGUGUGAAAUCCCCCGGCUUAACCGGGGAACUGCGCCCUAAACUGUAUGGCUGGAGUGAGAUAGGGGUGUGUGGAACUUCCGGUGGAGCGGUGAAAUGUGUUGAUAUUGGAAGGAACGCCGGUGGCGAAAGCGACACACUGGGUCUCAACUGACGCUGAGGCACGAAAGCCAGGGGAGCGAACGGG